CACCGCGGUUAUACGAGAGGCCCAAGUUGAUAGACAUCGGCGUAAAGAGUGGUUAAGAGAAUAUUAACUAGAGCCGAAUACCCCUCCAGCUGUUAUACGCAAGCGGGGGCUUAGAAGCACAAUCACGAAGGUAGCUUUAUGAUACCUGAACCCACGAAAGCUAAGAUA
rnacentral:rRNA from 1 species